CCAGGCACCUGAUGCUCAGCCU
rnacentral:siRNA from 1 species